UACGGAGGAUGCAAGCGUUAUCCGGAAUGAUUGGGCGUAAAGCGUCCGCAGGUGGCUGUGUAAGUCUGCUGUUAAAGAGUCUAGCUCAACUAGAUAAAAGCAGAGGAAACUACACGGCUAGAGUACGUUCGGGGCAGAGGGAAUUCCUGGUGUAGCGGUGAAAUGCGUAGAGAUCAGGAAGAACACCAGUGGCGAAGGCGCUCUGCUAGGCCGUAACUGACACUGAGGGACGAAGGCUAGGGGAGCGAAUGGG
rnacentral:rRNA from 1 species